AGCGGCGAAGGGCGCGUAACACGUGGGCAAUCUACCAAGAAGUGGGGGAUAGCUCGGCGAAAGCCGAAUUAAUACCGCAUGUGAUGAGGGAAGACAUCUUUCCGAAAUCAAAGGUGGCGCAAGCUACCGCUUGUUGUGGGGCCCGCGGCCUAUCAGCUUGUUGGUGAGGUAACGGCUCACCAAGGCUAUGACGGGUAGCUGGUCUGAGAGGACGACCAGUCACACUGGGACUGAGACACGGCCCAGACACCUACGGGUGGCAGCAGUCGAGAAUUUUUGACAAUGGGGGAAACCCUGAUCGAGCGACGCCGCGUGGAGGAUGAAGGUCUUCGGGUUGUAAACUCCUGUCAUUUGGGAACAAGGCGUACGUAUUAACUGUGCGUGCGUUGAUAGUACCAGAAGAGGAAGAGACGGCUAACUCUGUGCCAGCAGCCGCGGUAAUACAGAGGUCUCAAGCGUUGUUCGGAUUCAUUGGGCGUAAAGGGUGUGUAGGUGGCGCGCUAAGUCGGGUGUGAAAUUUCGGAGCUUAACUCCGAAACUGCAUUCGA
rnacentral:rRNA from 1 species